AUGCUCGAUGCAUGUGAAAAAAACACUCGUUGAAAAAUAUUAAAAAGAUAAUUUAAAAUGCGUUUAUAAUAUGAAAAAAAAUUCAAAUAAUGGACAAUCCAAACAAAUAAUUUUUGUUGAUUUGAGAAUCACAAUUUACAAGAAAGGAAUUGAAAGGCGAAAUUACUUUGGUACGUUUUUUUUUUUGUAAGCAAGACUCACUCACAAUCCAUCUUCCUCUACCACCUAACCCAACCCAACGACUCAUCAUUAUACAUCAAUAACUUAUUAUC
rnacentral:lncRNA from 1 species